GCCCGGGUGGUGGAAUGGUAGACACAGGGGCCUUAAAAGCCCCAGCCGGUAAUCGGCGUGCGGGUUCGAGCCCCGCCCCGGGCA
rnacentral:tRNA from 1 species